UGUUUUAUUUGGCUAGUACUAACAGUUAUGAUAUCUAUUUUAUAUUUCUGAUGUGAUGUUGCUAACGUAUUUCAGCCAGCUAUAACUACACAUACCGUUGAAUAAGCUUAUUCUCAUGACAGUGGAACGCUGACCAGACGAAAUUCUCUAUUUUAAGCAAUCACUAGUUAUCUACCGUUACCUAGUUAGCUAGCAAUUUUAUCACUCGACAAUCAUAGUCUAAUGUAAACCGAUAUAACUUGGCCUCUCUGGACGUUAGCUCCAUAUCGCUGGUGAGGUAAUCUGAAGAAACUGGACCAUUUGUUUUUGACAAGACACCGGUCGAAAUUGACACAGCCGGUUAAAAUGGCCGAGGACGAGGCAGAUAUCUUACCCAGGUAGAUAAUUGGCCACCUAACGUUACAGCUUGACACGACUACGUAAUUUGCAUGUUUAACGUCAGUGCAAGUUGUCCUAACAGCUUGUUUUUUUUACUGCUAACAUUGUUUAGGAGUUAUAUUGAAUACACAUAGCCUUUUGGUAGCUAACGUUGUGUUUUACUGCGCUAGGCUAUCGAUAGCUAGUUCACCGGCUAAAUAUUGGCGGAGACCACGUGACCCUGUGCCAUUGCUGUAGCUUAGCUACCACUACCAUUAAUUAGCUGUAGAAAUGUACAAUGGGUUCUGUUGAAAACUGACUCGUACAGCAAAUGGAAAGAUCAAUAUUAUUUGACGAACAUCUGUAAAAUCUGUUUGAUACGUAGCUAGCCACUAGUUGAUCGCUAGUUUAAAAAUAUUUAGCGAGCCAUGCGCAUGAUUGACGUCCUCUGUGAUCUAAAGUAUCUGGUCGGAUUGCUUGCUAGCCCGUUGAUGUAAAACCGGACCAGACCAGUUUGACGGAGAAAUGGCUAUCUAGGUAUCGCUGACCAACUAGCUACUAUUUCCCCCAUAUUAAAACAGCUGAAAUCAGUUCGGUGUUAUGGAAAUGUGUGCUGUUCUAAUGUCUUGGCUGACUACGUUAAGAAAGAACUAUGCAUUUAAAACGAAAAUUUCAUAGCACCUCAUUUAUCGACAUCUUUGCAACAAAUAAUGUAUAAUCUUUAGGGAUUUCGCUUGAAAAACAACCAGGGUUUCAUUCAGUUAACCAUAGUUGUACACCAUUUUAGUUCGGCUAUCCUUAAAUGGUUUCUAGCUAACUAACGUUACAUUUAUAUGCGUUUAUCACGUGAGCUGUCAGAUGGGGUCGUGGUCUUACUCAAUACAGUUUAUUUUUAUGGAGCUUUUAGUUAUGUAAGGACAAAUGUGGUGCUGACGUUUACUAUGUAAUGGUGACGUUGUCAAUGAAAUUACUACUGACGAACUUUUGUCUUUUUAUUUUCACAUAGGCGGAAUUAAUAUAAUCGCAAAUGUGUUGGUUAUUGCGGACGUGCUUUAACAGUUUGUGCGUUACGCUUUGAAGUUGACCUGCGCUGAAUGCUGUCAACGUGAUGAAAACUCGCCAUCGAGAGAUGCAAGAAGCCAUGUGAUUAGAUUAAGCUCAUUAUAACCUUCCAGCAUCACUAAUACAGAGUGUCUCUGACAAAAAAAGCUGCAGUAACUUUCUAAACCGGGGAGCUCAAGCUGCCAGUCAGCUGGUAAUUCAGACUAAUUUGAAACCUCAAAUGACAGUCAUCGCCGGCGAACAAGAUAGUUGUGCAACAUCCGGGGCUUCAAAAUGGCUGGGGCCCAUCAUGUUACUCAUCCUCCCGUACGCAUUAAUUUAUUUUGCUGCCGUCGAUUAUACUGUAGAUUUAAUAAAUGUGGCGUCGUCAGUGAUUUUGGAAAUAUGAAUUGAUGUGUAUAGUCUUACUGAACGUUGGCGGUUAUGUGUACACCUGGUCACGGAAAAUGAGAAGAAUCUACUUGUGAGAUCUUUCUCUAAGGUUUGUUUUUGCUUCGAUGUAACGUUAGUGGGAUGGAUGUUUACAUCCCUGCUUUGGGACUUAGAUGAUUGCGACGCUUCCAGUUAAUCCAUUUGUAAGCUGCUUCUCUCGAUUAAAUGGGGAAAAAAUGGUUGUGUCACAACCGACGAAAGAGAGGACUUUUAGUGUAAUUAAAAUGAACCUCGCUCAGCACGUACUCCUGACUCAGUCAAUGGAAAAUUAGCUUGCAGAGGAAGAUGAGCUAAGAACGUUGAACAGGAGUUUUCCCCAGCAAAACAUCUUCCCGCUGUCAUGAUGAAGCUCAUCCGGCUAAUUUAAUGCUGUUUGCCUUGACAGGGGUUUCUAGAACAGCAAUGGAAAAUAAUUGGUCUCAUCUUUCAGGCUGUACGGUUUUGUGAGACAUCGUACCCGGGAUGUGUGGUUGGUUUUCACAGCCCUACAUACACGUUUAAUGUGCCCUUAUUACGCAGUGACAGAGAUGGGACUUCAUACUCAUACUGUCAACAAAAAUGCCUUCAAGGAGUGUCCCCCCCAGGCAGGACUACUGGCAGCCCCGAGGAGUAAAAUUAGAUUUCCCUCGAGUUCAGUCAUUGGCUGUGACCUAACUUCGGUCUCAGAAUUGGGUUAUAGAUAGCAUCCGGGCUGCUGUCUAUUUCUCCCGUUUAACGAGGUCGGGAAGAGUACAGCAUUGGCGGAUGUGAUGCACAGUCACUGUGGUGGAGUCGCGCGGACAACCGCUGCAGGGUUACAGACGUGUUCCAUUCGUUCGUUAAAUAAAUCUCUGGUUCGUUAAAUAAAUCUCGUCCAAUUUAUUUUAGGACAGCUACUUGUCAGGAACUACGCAAUGCAGAAAUGUAUUUUGUUCAAUCAAACACAAUAUUCCCUAGUAUUUAGAAGUAUAAAUUUAUUUAUUUAUUUGAAAAUUGUUUUAAAUAUAUGCAUUUUCUUGGCUGUGAUUCAACACUUGCCAGAGUUUCCUAAGGGUACACUUUUAGCACCCGUGGAGCAGCAGGUUUGCAUUUUGAGUGCCACCUUUGCUCAUCUAUGACUAUUCUUUAUUAGUUUUCAGUUUUAUUUCGGUUUUUAUUGUUCAUGUAAAACACUGCGGUAGUUUACUGUUUGAAGGUGCAGUUCAAAUAAAGUUUAAUUAUUGAUCAUCCUUUGGAUGAAAAGGGUAUAACUGGUCUCUGGCGUGCCAAGAACAGUGAUUUAUGUUGAAAUCCCUUAAAACUAAGCUGAACAUUAAAUUUCUGCCAUUUCAUUUAAAAUUGGAACGAGCCAAAAAAAAAUUAAUAUUUGGCAAAUUAGCAAUGCAGUGUAAGCACAUCCUUGUAAUGGCUGGCUAGACAUUCUCGUGAAGGAAAACAGAGGUACAAAAGUCAAUGUAGUUUUUAAAAGUUAUUUUUUUAAAAGAAGCCUUGGCUUACAGUGUCGGAAUCCAGGUUUUUGACUAAGCUCUCCUCUGCCAAUGUUAUGUUCGAUUUUGCACCACCGUUCAUAUAAUCAAGUCAAUUUUUAAUUGUAUUUCAUUCAGAGGGGCUGUCGGACACACAAUUGUUCUUUUUGGGGGGCUCGUUGUAAGCUUUCCUUCAGGGUUUUACUGAAAUGCAGCUAAAGCAAGGCUUGUUUUAAAUGGCAGCUGCCAUUAGCACGAAAAUACAGUUUGUUGCAAACUCACGACAAGCGGACGGGUAUGUCAUUCAGUGGAGUUUGUCCCUAAUGAUUAUCCAAAUGAACUUUUACGUGGGGUCAAUCCGCUGGCAACAUUUGCAACAACAGAGCUGACCGUUUCUGUCGUCCGAAGAGUUUAGGCCCAAGUGGACCGAUAGCAAUGAGUUUAGUUAAGCCACAAUUAUAAUUUUGCGGGACUAAUUAUUAUUUGAUGAAAUGUGAUCUGUUUUUUGACUUUCAGAAUUUAACAUAACUUCGGCUUAGUUUCGUGUGAAGUCAAUUUUUAGUAACCUUAUGAGUGGCAGGUUCAUUGCGAGAAGACCCCUUGGAUGUCUUCCUUUGAAUGUAAAUAUAUAAAUAUAGCUGACCAACUCCGUUCUCUUAAAGCUGUUACCUGACUACUGUAGCUGGCUUUUGCACGUUUAAAUUAGAAUGUGUUCUUUCACAGUGGAAUUGGGCUAAGCUGUCCAACUUGCAUUCAGGUCAAAUGUGAAGGGGAAUGGAAAAAAAUCUUUUCUAAAUAGGGGUCGGGCGGGGGUGGGGGCCAGGGGGGGGUUUGGCCAACAGCUGCGGUGCAUAAUUUUUUCUAACUGUUAGUUAAAAACAAAAAGAAAAGACUACAUUAAGAACACAGCACUGCUGUUUAAUCCAUGCACUGGCUCCCUUCUUGUGCAGCUGAGGGAGAGAGCUGUGUUUCAUAGCAACGGGCGUGAAGGUGACCUUUGGCAACGGCCAGUCCCGGCGAAAGGUCACAUGGUGUCUAGGGCUCGCGGCGGUGUAGCCUCACGCUAGCGGAAAGGCUGGCUGCUCCCGGUCCACGUGCUGCCGCGGAGCGAGAUCGAUCCCUGUCCCAGUCCCGAAUGCUGUAAUCCCCGGGUUCGGGAGGCCUCUGUGAGCUCGCUUCCCCCUCCGCCCGCGCCUCCUGCCGUCUACAAUCGGCCGCAUUGUUCCGGACAAGGGGGAAAACUCACGGGCCUGCCCGAACCACCCUCUGGAGCCGGAACAAUGUCUGUCGUUCUGCACACUUUCUUUUUAAUUCUUUGGAAUUUAGAUCUGAGGCGGAUUGUUGGAUUGUUCGCGCAGUUUAUUCCUCAGAUUUAUGUGUAUGUCAGCGGCCUUGCACGUUGAGGUUCCACCCCAGGUUCCGUUCUCAGUGUAUUGUCUUAAGAUUGAGUGUGGAAUUUCAAUGAAACGGCCCGACGGGAGGGGGGGGGGGGACUUGCACUGCACUGCCCAUACUGCACCAUGAGAAACCACAUUCCUCUGAGUGUUGUAACCCUUUAAAAUGUAAGUUCACAAAUAUGUGAUUAGAAUGUUCAUGACUGAGCAUUCUAACGCUGAUGUAACAAUCACUACUGGCGAUAGAAAGCAAUGCAGUUCUAGAACACAAACU